AGUACCCUGCUGUGUCCGUGAUGCGGCUACAGUUUUGAGCCAACACCUAUAGAAAGGGAGUUGAGCUCUAGAGGGGAUGCGGUAGCCUGAAAGGGUAAGGCUGAACCGAUAGGUAGAUUCCCACCUGCGAGAGCAGGUUCAAAACGUUAGAGCACACGGCACAGCGGGGAACCC
rnacentral:other from 1 species